AGCGGGAAGUAGUUUACUACUUUGCCGGCGAGCGGCGGACGGGUGAGUAAUGUCUGGGAAACUGCCUGAUGGAGGGGGAUAACUACUGGAAACGGUAGCUAAUACCGCAUAACGUCUUCGGACCAAAGUGGGGGACCUUCGGGCCUCACGCCAUCGGAUGUGCCCAGAUGGGAUUAGCUAGUAGGUGGGGUAAUGGCUCACCUAGGCGACGAUCCCUAGCUGGUCUGAGAGGAUGACCAGCCACACUGGAACUGAGACACGGUCCAGACUCCUACGGGAGGCAGCAGUGGGGAAUAUUGCACAAUGGGCGCAAGCCUGAUGCAGCCAUGCCGCGUGUGUGAAGAAGGCCUUCGGGUUGUAAAGCACUUUCAGCGAGGAGGAAGGCCAAUAACUUAAUACGUUGUUGGAUUGACGUUACUCGCAGAAGAAGCACCGGCUAACUCCGUGCCAGCAGCCGCGGUAAUACGGAGGGUGCAAGCGUUAAUCGGAAUUGCUGGGCGUAAAGCGCACGCAGGCGGUUUGUUAAGUCAGAUGUGAAAUCCCCGCGCUUAACGUGGGAACUGCAUUUGAAACUGGCAAGCUAGAGUCUUGUAGAGGGGGGUAGAAUUCCAGGUGUAGCGGUGAAAUGCGUAGAGAUCUGGAGGAAUACCGGUGGCGAAGGCGGCCCCCUGGACAAAGACUGACGCUCAGGUGCGAAAGCGUGGGGAGCAAACA
rnacentral:rRNA from 1 species